GCACCCAACCACUCAGAGCCACUCUGGAAUUCCCAAGCUGGGUGUUGCUUUCUCUUGUUCCCCUGAAGAUGAUGUUAUUUGCUGAUAAUGGGUCAGAGUGUGUCAAAGAGAGAUGUAAGGACAAUUUCUGGCUUCAGCCACUCUGAAUUAUAACAAGAGGAAUUUAAAUAAAUGCAAGGGAAGAGCUCCUCUCAGACUGAGAUGCUGGUGAGAAUGAGAUUUCUCCUCUGAGCAAAAAGAGGAUGGUUACCUGCCUUUGAGAACACCUGGUUCAGGUCCAAAGAGGGAAGGUGUGAUGUCAAAGGGAGCUAUUGAG
rnacentral:lncRNA from 1 species